AGUGAACGCUGGCGGUAGGCCUAACACAUGCAAGUCGAACGGCAGCACAGUAAGAGCUUGCUCUUACUGGUGGCGAGUGGCGGACGGGUGAGGAAUACAUCGGAAUCUACUUUUUCGUGGGGGAUAACGUAGGGAAACUUCCGCUAAUACCGCAUACGACCUACGGGUGAAAGCAGGGGAUCUUCGGACCUUGCGCGAUUGAAUUAGCCGAUGUCGGAUUAGCUAGUUGGCGGGGUAAAGGCCCACCAAGGCGACGAUCCGUAGCUGGUCUGAGAGGAUGAUCAGCCACACUGGAACUGAGACACGGUCCAGACUCCUACGGGAGGCAGCAGUGGGGAAUAUUGGACAAUGGGCGAAAGCCUGAUCCAGCCAUACCGCGUGGGUGAAGAAGGCCUUCGGGUUGUAAAGCCCUUUUGUUGGGAAAGAAAAGCAGCAGGUGAAUACCCCGCUGUUCUGACGGUACCCAAAGAAUAAGCACCGGCUAACUUCGUG
rnacentral:rRNA from 1 species